GGUGCUGUGGCUCAAGUGGUAUAGCACUUGCCUUGCAUGCAUGAGGCCCUGGGUUUGAUUCCUCAGCACCA
rnacentral:tRNA from 1 species